rnacentral:rRNA from 1 species
UACGUAGGGGGCAAGCGUUGUCCGGAUUUAUUGGGCGUAAAGAGCUCGUAGGCGGUUUGUUGCGUCGGCUGUGAAAUCCCGAGGCUCAACCUCGGGUCUGCAGUCGAUACGAGCAAACUAGAGUGUUGCAGGGGAGACUGGAAUUCCUGGUGUAGCGGUGAAAUGCGCAGAUAUCAGGAGGAACACCGAUGGCGAAGGCAGGUCUCUGGGCAUUAACUGACGCUGGAGGAGCGAAAGCAUGGGGAGCGAACAGG